AUUUCUCUGAGAUGUUUGCAAGUGGGCGAGUCCCCUGAGCCGAUAUUCAUAUAAAACAGAAUGUAGUUUUUGCGCUGGUGAGCAUGCCCGAUUCGUUCAGGAAGCCUAAAGGUUGCAAAGCUACGUUCACCUUGAACCAAGGGUUCAAGGGUUACAGCCUACAGCGGCAUCUCGGAGAUCCU
rnacentral:other from 1 species